ACUCCUGUGGCUCAUAAGCCGGGUGAUCGGGUUUCACCCUGUCAUGUGCGAUGUGCCUCCCUCAAACCUUGUCACCACGUCAGCACAGUACCCGUCUGAUG